CAAAAUUUGCAGUGGUGUGGUUUCGUUCCGGUGUGAGUGUUGACGUGAUUUUGCAAAGAGGCAAGAGUUUUGAACCCUCUUUCGCAAACACUGCACUUGUGCGGUCUUUCCUCGGAGUGUGAUUUCAUGUGUCGUGAAAAUUUAUCGUCUUCGGCUUCGUACUCGGUCGCAUUGUCCUCGUUGUCCUCAAAAUCGUACACGGUCAAGUCUUGGUCGCCCUCACCGUCUUCCCCUUCACCACCUUCGCCGUCACCGCUGCCACGACCUUCUUUACCAUCCGGCUGUUGCACUAUCAAGACGUAACUGACUUCGCCGGGAUUCGUAUCUGAUGGCACUAUCGUCACUGUCUGAUAAGCGUCUCCGGAGUUCAGCACUACUCGAUUGUUUUCCGAAUUGUGAGCCUGUUUCAAUAACAAUUGUACUCUUAACCAUCGUUGCUAACUCGACGCCUAUGGGAGGUUGGAAUCAAGCGAGAGUCGAAACAAAAAACUGUCAAAAUGGUGGAGAACAUUCGAAAAACUUGCACAAAAUAACCUCGUUAGUUUUAAAUGUGAUUUCGAACUUGGCCGAUUAAUUCUUUGUCUCAAAAUUUUUAUUUUUUUAAAAGAACUCAACAAUUGUUAGCCAAUUUAGUUAAUUUAUGAAAUAUAUCAAUGAAAAAUGUU